rnacentral:rRNA from 1 species
AUACGUAGGGGGCGAGCGUUGUCCGGAAUGAUUGGGCGUAAAGGGCGCGUAGGCGGCCCGGUAAGUCUGGAGUGAAAGUCCUGUUUUUAAGAUGGGAAUUGCUUUGGAUACUGUCGGGCUUGAGUGCAGGAGAGGUAAGUGGAAUUCCCAGUGUAGCGGUGAAAUGCGUAGAGAUUGGGAGGAACACCAGUGGCGAAGGCGACUUACUGGGCCGUAACUGACGCUGAGGCGCGAAAGCGUGGGGAGCGAACAGGAUUAGAUACCCUGGUAGUCCACGCGGUAAACGAUGAAUGCUAGGUGUUGCGGGUAUCGACCCCUGCAGUGCCGGAGUAAACACAAUAAGUAUCCCACCUGGGGAGUACGGCCGCAAGGUUGAAACUCAAAGGAAUUGACGGGG